rnacentral:rRNA from 1 species
GACGUAGGAGGCGAGCGUUGUCCGGAUUCAUUGGGCGUAAAGAGCGCGCAGGCGGCUUGGUAAGUCGGAUGUGAAAUCCCGAGGCUCAACCUCGGGUCUGCAUCCGAUACUGCCCGGCUAGAGGUAGGUAGGGGAGAUCGGAAUUCCUGGUGUGAGCGGUGAAAUGCGCAGAUAUCGGGGAGGAACACCCGUAGCGAAGGCGGCACUCUGGGCCGGUACUGGACGCUGAGGAGCGAAAGCGUGGGGAGCAAACAGG